UGAGACAUUGAAAAUAGAGGAAUCAGAAAUGUCAAAGAAUAGAAAAUACCCAUGCUUUUAGGAUGGCAAAUCUUUUAUGUGAAAAUAAUCCUGGUUGCUCUGGGCCCAGGAGGCAAGCCCUUGGGAGGCUCUUUCAGAGGCCCCAGGCACCCUGCCUUAGGGAACCCCAUGUAGAGUUGUGCCUGAGGAACUGUACCCCGGAGGAAACUGCUUUUGGCAAGUUUGAUUAUUAAUAACAAGAAGCAUGACCAUUAAUAAUUAUCCUUGUAGCUCCUCUGAAACUAGAGUUGUAGUGCCAUGAGGAAUUCUUUUUGGCCAAUUAUUACUCACGUCUGUGCUUAUGUGCUUUAGGGGAGCGCCAGCUGAUUAUUCUGGGCUCAAGAUCACCUUUUGAGGACUUGCAGGCCUGUGCCUCAUAAAAACAGUCCCUGGAUUUGAUGGCAAAUGGCAGUAGAACUGUGGAAAAGAUCAAAGUGAUGUCAAGGUCGAUCUCUGAGUUUGGCAGGGCUGGACCCAAACAUAUCGUUCACCACAGACCCAUCGUGUCUCCAGUAGCAGAGUGGGGUAUCAUUCCCCUAUGAUAUGUGCAUCAAUUGCUGACCAGUUUUUUAUUUUGUUUUUAGAGAUGGAGAAUCUUGCUCUGUUGCCCAGGCUGGGGUGCAAUGGUGCAACCUUGGUUCACUGCACCUUCCACCUCCUGGGUUCAUGUGAUUUUACUGCCUGAGUCCUCUGAAUACCUGGGAUUACAGGUUAGGAGGGACUUGGACAGGCUUAUUGGUUGAAGACCAGGAGCCAGGGCAGAGAUAAAAUAACCAGGCCCGGGGGUCUCCAAGACAGCAGGCAACAGGAUCAGGGGGAAAGUCAUGGCUGAGAUGAGGAACACAUCCUCUGAGUUUGAAUGGAAGAACCCAAGAUUGCUUGGAGAUACUGGUAAGUUUAUAGGAGCAGACAGUUGAAGGGGUUAUGCCCCAUGGCCCCUGUAUUCUUGGUGCAGGGGGUGAUGAGACCAUUAGCUGAGACUGGGGGACAUGGGAAUCGAAGACAAAGGGAACUUUGGUAUGGCCACUGUGGAAAGGGAGAAAGAAGGGGACCAGGAAAGGGGUCACUGAGCAGUAGCUAGACCCCACAUUCCCCAGGAAUGUAUUUCCAACUCAUUUCACAAAGCAGCUCCCGCCCCCAGCAUGCCUGUCUGCUCCCAGCCUAUCUCAUCCUGAGAGAAACAGUGCUCGUUGCACCUGUGGAAGUAGCUUAGGGACAUGCUUGGCUUGUGUCAUCAGAUUAAUGAAAAGUAGGGCUUUUUUCCCCUUUCUCCUGGUGGGGGAUGGUGAUGAGAAAAGAAUGUAGUCUCUAAAUUCAGAAGGUCUGGGCUUGAAUCC